rnacentral:rRNA from 1 species
GCUUUACACAUGCAAGUCGAACGGCAGCACGGGUGCUUGCAUCNGGUGGCGAGUGGCGGACUGGUGAGUAAUACAUCGGAACGUGUCCYGAAGUGGUGGAUAACGCAUCGAAAGAUGUGCUAAUACCGCAUAUACUCUGAGGAGUAAAGUAGCGGAUCGAAAGACCUUAUGCUUAUGGAGCGGCCGAUGUCUGAUUAGCUAGUUGGUGGGGUAAUGGCCUACCAAGGCGACGAUCAGUAGUUGGUCUGAGAGGACGACCAGCCACACUGGGACUGAGACACGGCCCAGACUCCUACGGCAGGCAGCAGUGGGGAAUUUUGGACAAUGGGCGCAAGCCUGAUCCAGCAAUGCCGCGUGAGUUAAGAAGGCCUUCGGGUUGUAUAGCUCUUUCAGUUGAGAAGAAUAGACUGUAACUAAUAAUUACAGUUCAUGACGGUAUCAACAGAGGAAGCACCGGCUAACUACGUGCCAGCAGCCGCGGUAAUACGUAGGGUGCGAGCGUUAAUCGGAAUUACUGGGCGUAAAGGGUGCGCAGGCGGUUCUGUAAGUCAGAUGUGAUAUCUCCGGGCUUAACCUGGGAACUGCGUUUGAAACUACAGAGCUAGAGUGUGGCAGAGGGGGGUGGAAUUCCAUGUGUAGCAGUGAAAUGCGUAGAGAUAUGGAGGAACAUCGAUGGCGAAGGCAGCUCCCUGGGUUAACACUGACGCUCAUGCACGAAAGCGUGGCGAGCAAACAGGAUUAGAUACCCUGGUAGUCCACGCCCUAAACUAUGUCAACUAGUUGUCGGGCCUUAUUAGGUUUGGUAACGUAGCUAACGCGUGAAGUUGACCGCCUGGCGAGUACGGUCGCAAGAUUAUAACUCAAAGGAAUUGACGAGGAC